UGGCUCAGAUUGAACGCUGGCGGCAGGCUUAACACAUGCAAGUCGAGCGGAGAUGAGGUGCUUGCACCUUAUCUUAGCGGCGGACGGGUGAGUAAUGCUUAGGAAUCUGCCUAUUAGUGGGGGACAACAUUCCGAAAGGAAUGCUAAUACCGCAUACGCCCUACGGGGGAAAGCAGGGGAUCUUCGGACCUUGCGCUAAUAGAUGAGCCUAAGUCGGAUUAGCUAGUUGGUGGGGUAAAGGCCUACCAAGGCGACGAUCUGUAGCGGGUCUGAGAGGAUGAUCCGCCACACUGGGACUGAGACACGGCCCAGACUCCUACGGGAGGCAGCAGUGGGGAAUAUUGGACAAUGGGCGGAAGCCUGAUCCAGCCAUGCCGCGUGUGUGAAGAAGGCCUUUUGGUUGUAAAGCACUUUAAGCGAGGAGGAGGCUACCUGGAUUAAUACUCUAGGAUAGUGGACGUUACUCGCAGAAUAAGCACCGGCUAACUCUGUGCCAGCAGCCGCGGUAAUACAGAGGGUGCGAGCGUUAAUCGGAUUUACUGGGCGUAAAGCGUGCGUAGGCGGCUGAUUAAGUCGGAUGUGAAAUCCCUGAGCUUAACUUAGGAAUUGCAUUCGAUACUGGUCAGCUAGAGUAUGGGAGAGGAUGGUAGAAUUCCAGGUGUAGCGGUGAAAUGCGUAGAGAUCUGGAGGAAUACCGAUGGCGAAGGCAGCCAUCUGGCCUAAUACUGACGCUGAGGUACGAAAGCAUGGGGAGCAAACAGGAUUAGAUACCCUGGUAGUCCAUGCCGUAAACGAUGUCUACUAGCCGUUGGGGCCUUUGAGGCUUUAGUGGCGCAGCUAACGCGAUAAGUAGACCGCCUGGGGAGUACGGUCGCAAGACUAAAACUCAAAUGAAUUGACGGGGGCCCGCACAAGCGGUGGAGCAUGUGGUUUAAUUCGAUGCAACGCGAAGAACCUUACCUGGCCUUGACAUACUAGAAACUUUCCAGAGAUGGAUUGGUGCCUUCGGGAAUCUAGAUACAGGUGCUGCAUGGCUGUCGUCAGCUCGUGUCGUGAGAUGUUGGGUUAAGUCCCGCAACGAGCGCAACCCUUUUCCUUAUUUGCCAGCGAGUAAUGUCGGGAACUUUAAGGAUACUGCCAGUGACAAACUGGAGGAAGGCGGGGACGACGUCAAGUCAUCAUGGCCCUUACGGCCAGGGCUACACACGUGCUACAAUGGUCGGUACAAAGGGUUGCUACCUAGUGAUAGGAUGCUAAUCUCAAAAAGCCGAUCGUAGUCCGGAUUGGAGUCUGCAACUCGACUCCAUGAAGUCGGAAUCGCUAGUAAUCGCGGAUCAGAAUGCCGCGGUGAAUACGUUCCCGGGCCUUGUACACACCGCCCGUCACACCAUGGGAGUUUGUUGCACCAGAAG
rnacentral:rRNA from 1 species